rnacentral:rRNA from 1 species
UCCUACGGGGGNGCAGCAGUGGGGAAUAUUGGACAAUGGGCGAAAGCCUGAUCCAGCCAUGCCGCGUGUGUGAAGAAGGUCUUCGGAUUGUAAAGCACUUUAAGUUGGGAGGAAGGGCAGUAAAUUAAUACUUUGCUGUUUUGACGUUACCGACAGAAUAAGCACCGGCUAACUCUGUGCCAGCAGCCGCGGUAAUACAGAGGGUGCAAGCGUUAAUCGGAAUUACUGGGCGUAAAGCGCGCGUAGGUGGUUUGUUAAGUUGGAUGUGAAAUCCCCGGGCUCAACCUGGGAACUGCAUUCAAAACUGACAAGCUAGAGUAUGGUAGAGGGUGGUGGAAUUUCCUGUGUAGCGGUGAAAUGCGUAGAUAUAGGAAGGAACACCAGUGGCGAAGGCGACCACCNGGACUGAUACNGACACU